UAGUCGAAUACCCUUCGGAGCCGGUCUCCUGCUGUUAGUGAAAAUGAUGGUCAAGGUGGUGGACGGUAAGUAUCAUUAACUCUUAAUCCUUUGCUGUUAGUGUCAGAUGUACCUGUUCAGAAGACAGUACACAACCUUCAGUGGCAGUGGAAGAAAUGUAGGUUUUUGUGUUGGUUUUUGCCGUUUUCAAAGAGGUAGGAAUAUAUCUUGUGAAGCGCUGUGUGAUUAAGCUGUUACAAGUUUGAUUAAUAAAUUGAUUUUUAGUUGGGCAUUCAAGCCAUGUCAUUUAAUCCAGCCAAGAUGGGUAAGUUUAGCAAGCGUUAAUCAGUGUAAACUAAUCUCAGAGAAUAUAACAGAAUAACACAAAGUUUUUUAAUGAAGACACUCUAAUUUUUUCUCUCAUUCGUCUUCUAAUUGUGUAAUUUUAAACUGGUUUUAAUGAGGAAAGAAGUAGUAAAUUCGUAGUUUUAGAUGAUCGCAAGGGUUUGACCUUUCCGGAUUCGAGUGAAAUUGGGGGUGAUUUUUUGUACGAGACGGUGGUCCCCAACUGCCAAAAUCACACGUACUGUGAACACUUGGACCGCUACCCUAAAGAACUAUUUUCCAAAAUAUUAAAAAGCCGCGAAAAGGAGUUUUCUCGGUACUUUCAGAGUAUGGCAGUAAUAGAGCCCAUUAUGAGUAGGAACCAAGACACUUCCUGUAUUUGUGCAUCACGCAAAAGUAUUAUAUACCCAAAAGCGGCAUAUAAUAUAAAAAAUAAUCUGAAAUUUAUCUACAACUUCGAUGGAUACAAACAAGGAGUGUCCGUAGAGGUCUGCGUGAUGUAAGUUUUUUAAAUUUUAUUGUGAAUAAGGACGGACUUUAGUACGUGUUUUAGAAAAAAUCAAAUGUGCAAAUUUUACGAGAAGGUGAGAAAGUUAAAAACAAGGUGUCGACAAAAGUUCGUCGAAAAAUUGUUACUGACGGCUGAUGAAAAUGGAAGACCGUACGCUGAUAGGUACAGAUUUCCAUCAGCUUGUGUCUUCGUACAAGAUAAUUAGCUCUAAUGUGUUUUUUACUUAAAGUUGGGUAACUGCAGAGUAAUACAUUUACUUUGUGGAGAAGUGAACUGAGACGAUUUUAUCCCUGUAAUUAUCGCAGUAUUAGGUGGAAGAAAACGAUAGGUAUUAAUCACAAUUUAGUGAAUCCCAGCUAAUAAUUCUUAAAAAGUAAUUACGUGUGAUUUGUGUGAUUAUGACGAAUUGUAGGUACGUAAGUUAUUGUGGACUAAUGUGUGUUUUUAUAAUUAAAUUUUAGCAAUUUUAGUCCGGACGUUAGUCAAGUUUUUAUUUAUUGUUACAAGCUUUACCAGUGUUUGAAACUUUUUAAGCAUUUUAUGAAAUAUUAUGUUAGAACUAGCUUAAGCAUUAAAAAUGUACAAACAGACGAAAAGUAUUGUAGUAUUGUAAAUUUAUGUGUACUAUAAACUGUAAUUAAUAAAGCUGUUGAUGUUCGAA